rnacentral:rRNA from 1 species
AUGUUGGCCGGGCGACGGUUGUCCCGGUUUAAGCGUGUAGGCUGGUUUUCCAGGCAAAUCCGGAAAACUAAGGCUGAGGCGUGAUGACGAGGCACUACGGUGCUGAAGCAACAAAUGCCCUGCUUCCAGGAAAAGCCUCUAAGCAUCAGGUAACAUCAAAUCGUACCCCAAACCGACACAGGUGGUCAGGUAGAGAAUACCAAGGCGCUUGAGAGAACUCGGGUGAAGGAACUAGGCAAAAUGGUGCCGUAACUUCGGGAGAAGGCACGCUGAUAUGUAGGUGAAGUCCCUCGCGGAUGGAGCUGAAAUCAGUCGAAGAUACCAGCUGGCUGCAACUGUUUAUUAAAAACACAGCACUGUGCAAACACGAAAGUGGACGUAUACGGUGUGACGCCUGCCCGGUGCCGGAAGGUUAAUUGAUGGGGUCAGCGCAAGCGAAGCUCUUGAUCGAAGCCCCGGUAAACGGCGGCCGUAACUAUAACGGUCCUAAGGUAGCGAAAUUCCUUGUCGGGUAAGUUCCGACCUGCACGAAUGGCGUAAUGAUGGCCAGGCUGUCUCCACCCGAGACUCAGUGAAAUUGAACUCGCUGUGAAGAUGCAGUGUACCCGCGGCAAGACGGAAAGACCCCGUGAACCUUUACUAUAGCUUGACACUGAACAUUGAGCCUUGAUGUGUAGGAUAGGUGGGAGGCUUUGAAGUGUGGACGCCAGUCUGCAUGGAGCCGACCUUGAAAUACCACCCUUUAAUGUUUGAUGUUCUAACGUUGACCCGUAAUCCGGGUUGCGGACAGUGUCUGGUGGGUAGUUUGACUGGGGCGGUCUCCUCCUAAAGAGUAACGGAGGAGCACGAAGGUUGGCUAAUCCUGGUCGGACAUCAGGAGGUUAGUGCAAUGGCAUAAGCCAGCUUGACUGCGAGCGUGACGGCGCGAGCAGGUGCGAAAGCAGGUCAUAGUGAUCCGGUGGUUCUGAAUGGAAGGGCCAUCGCUCAACGGAUAAAAGGUACUCCGGGGAUAACAGGCUGAUACCGCCCAAGAGUUCAUAUCGACGGCGGUGUUUGGCACCUCGAUGUCGGCUCAUCACAUCCUGGGGCUGAAGUAGGUCCCAAGGGUAUGGCUGUUCGCCAUUUAAAGUGGUACGCGAGCUGGGUUUAGAACGUCGUGAGACAGUUCGGUCCCUAUCUGCCGUGGGCGCUGGAGAACUGAGGGGGGCUGCUCCUAGUACGAGAGGACCGGAGUGGACGCAUCACUGGUGUUCGGGUU